CCCGUGCUACAACCGCUCAGAAUGAGGUUAAAGCAAUGUUUAGAUAACAUUCACCUUAUUUUGGCGAGUCUGAGUUUAUAG
rfam:Bacillus litoralis strain C44 Scaffold3, whole genome shotgun sequence.